UCAUAACCAUGAUUUGUGGAUUUCCGCUUGAUAAACAGACGAGUUCAAAAUCAAAACCUCAAGUCCAAAAUAUUAUUACUGCGGGCUGCCAACAAGGCUACGUUAGAGUUCAUGGCAAGUGUGUUCGUACUGCUUCUGAUCGCAAGUAGGAAAACCUAUUGGAAUCCAAGAAUGUCUGUCUAAACAAAAUGUAGGUAUUUUUUUACUGUGUACAAGCUCAUUUAAAAUAAAUCUCAUGAACUUAAUUUGUAUUUUAUUUAUAAUUACAUGCGCUCAAUUAAAUUUCCAUUUAAUUAAUGUUUUAAUAUACGGAAUUUUUUCACAAACCGCAGAAUUUUCUGGUUUCAUAUCAAUUCAAAUAGGGAUGUGCUUAUCUGAUAAGAAACUAUACUUAAAUUUAAAGACGCUUAAAAACCCUUGGAUUUCCGAAAAAAAUGUUUUGUUAAAUAAACAUAUAACUUAUUUUUUUUGAUUACAGGAAGUAGACAACGUGCAAGAAAAAGUAUUUACUAUUUUGUAAUUUACAUGUAUUUUUGUAUAACAAUUUUGACGAAUUUCUACCUACUUAAUUUAUUUUAACAUUCUGAACAACAUUCUAUAUAAGCUUACAUUUAACCAGUACUUUAUUUAUUUCACCUCCUUUUUGUUCAAUUAAACUUGCGACCAAAGUGAGACAGCAGAACAUAGGAGGAAUUUAGUCCGGAAUUUAAUUUAUAUUUUUUAAGUACAUUUUUCCUUUAUUUUAUGCAAAUAUUUUGCAAAAAUAUACGUGACAUAAUUCGUGCUUAUUUUGAUAGUGAUAUGGUAUUACUUAAUGUAUGAUAACGAGCUUUCUGUUGAUUUUUGCGGUUUCGAAUGAUACGAAAAAAGUUGAUCCUUGUAUAAUAUUAUGGAUUUUUAAAAUGAAUAGAAUUGUACUCGGGAUUAUAUUAUUAAUUUUUACGCUACAAUAAAAUAUUUCAUUACCAUACUAAAUACGACCUCAAGAAAAAUUACACUUGACUGCGUGUUCCAGCAAGAGUUUUAAUAGAAACGGUUGCUUAGAUCCAAUAAAAUAAAAUAAGAAAAAAAUCAAAUUAACAUUAACUUCCUUCUUGUUUAUCAUAAUUAUUCACAGUCGGCUAUCCCACAUAUCCAAAAAUCUGUUGUAAUAGAACAACACGUUACAUUAUCAGAGCAAUUUUUUCAAGGAUAUAUGUUUUGCUAUAUAAGCCAUCAUUUGUUGAACAUCCAGGUAUACCUACCCAGAAUUGAAGAAUAAACAAUCAACAUGAAAUCUAUGAUUGCUGCUCUUUUUGUGGUUUUGGCUCUCGCCUCAGCCUAUGCUGCUGUGAUUCCCCUAAGUGCUGGAGUCAUUGGCUCUCCCCUUGUUGCCUCUCCAUGGAGUGGAGGCCUCAUCGCCUCCCCAUGGCUCGGCUCUCCUCUGAUUGGCACAACUAUUUUGUAAAUUAAUGCUUACACUCUGUACAUACGGAAUAAAUAAAUGCAACUAUUUUUU